UCCGGCGUCCCCGAACCCGAACGUGCCCGAACCCGAACGAAAUACAAGUACGGCCAUUUGCUAAAUUUGCUUUUUGUAUUAGUUACCCGAAAACUGAAUCUGAAAAUGUGAAAUGUCACGAAAUGUGAAUAGAAUAGUAAUGUAAUACUUGUAAUAGUGAACAGAAAUAGAUGGGUGACGCCGGCAUUAUGCUGUUUCAAAGUGGAACAUGUUACAAUUAUUCUUGUCUCUAAAAGAUGAAACUAUAAUCAAACCAUUGAAUUUAUAUUUGACCACCAUAAUUAUAUCCGCAACUAAUGAAUCCUUGUAAGAACUGCAGGGUUUAUUAACUUGCAGAUACUUCGUCUAAUUCUUCAUUUAGUGAGAGCUAUAGGGAUAAUGAAGAUCUACAUAAGCUUUCCAUUGGAGUUGGAGACUUCGUAAUUGUAUCUGACUACUUUGACAGCUUUCCAGGAAAAUUCGAUGGAUUUGUAAGAGGUAGUAAUAACUGUUACGGUUGGGUGCAAGUAAUGGUACUGGGUGAAAGAAGUUUAUUGCAAUGGCCCGAAGUCUCCGUAAGAAAAUCCUACCACUUGGCUAAUGUUGAUUUCACUGAGCCAUUGGAACUUGUAGAUAACCGAUAUUUCUUUCCAGAUUUAAAAAAAAGCUUGUAAAUCGUUUUAUUGUUCAUUUUUUGUUAAGAAAUGAUGUUUUUUGUUAACCUAGGGUCCUAUGUAAAGUUUCAUGUUAGUUUUAGUUUUUCAUUGUUUGAAAUUUAAAUAAAUUUUUUUCACCUAACAAAA